rnacentral:misc_RNA from 1 species
CCGCUCUCACUUCAAUCUUCACUUCCUCCUCCUCCGUCAGGUCGUCGCCGGCGAUAUUACCACUGAAACACCGUCUACGGUUACCACUCCGGAGACCUUUCUCGGCGCAGAGUACCACCGAGAAAGUGGUAGCUCCAGAACUCGGAGAUGGAAAGGGGAAAGUUGUUGAUAAAGAAAAAGACAGAGUGAUAACUCCUCGUUCCCAGGACUUUAACGCUUGGUAUUUGGAUGUUAUUGCUAAUGCGGAGCUUGCUGACUAUGGUCCAGUUCGUGGAACUAUGGUUAUUCGACCCUAUGGUUAUGCUAUAUGGGAGGCUAUACAGGAGUACAUGAAUGUGAAGUUUAAGGAAACUGGACACAGUAACAUGUAUUUCCCUCAGUUUAUACCGUAUUCCUUCAUUGAGAAAGAAGCUAGUCAUGUUGAGGGUUUCAGUCCAGAAUUAGCUCUUGUUACUGUUGGAGGAGGAAAAGAACUUGAAGAAAAGCUUGUGGUCAGACCUACAAGUGAAACAAUCGUGAAUCAUAUGUUUACUCAGUGGAUUCAUAGUUACCGUGACCUUCCUCUCAUGAUCAAUCAGUGGGCAAAUGUCACAAGAUGG